CAUCAGGACCACUCGAUGUAGGAUACACUGAUGGCAGUCAGCUCGUGCCUAUCCGUGGGCACGAAAGCACAGUGAGACAAAACGAAGCCUCGUUUGAAACAUGUUGCAGGUGUCAAUGAAACAUUCCACUUUGCUGUAAUCAUAACCAUGUCUUAAAUACACCCAGGUUCGUGUUCUGUGGAAUGGAAACACUUGUAUGCUCCAGAAUGAUUAACAUGUCACGCACUAUGAUGCUGGAAUACACUUGGCCUUUGUCCUCACGGUAGUCAUAUCAUCUAUGUUUAAGUAUGUGGUUCAAGUUGUGUUCUUUCGUAUUGACACCAACGAUGUUUAGAAUAUGAAAACGACAUAGAACGUGACAUAUAUUUCUCUUGGGCUUUGGGAAUGCUUGGACUCUGUAAAAUGUUAUUAACUUUUCUUUGGCCAAAAAAUAAUCAUUAUUUCACUGUAGGAGUAUGAGCAAAACAAUGUUCGACGAGAAUGUGAUAUUUAUUGUGUGGCGUGAAAACAGUCCCUUUGAGAGCAUGGAGGAAGAUAUAUCUCAGUUGUGUGGCGAAAUUAAGUAUGCUAGACCCUUUACAUCCCAUAUAUCGCAUAACAAAAGAGAAGUUGAAUGACAAAGAAAAGUGCAACUUCUGUCAGACAGAAUUUUGAAAAAACAUUUUUGAAAGAAUAAAUAUGAUAGCCGAGACAAAACUUUAAGAUCCCCGUCAAUCAUUCCAGAUAUUUGAUAUGCAGUCAGAUAUUUUCUCAGUUUGUUUUCGGGUUCAUGUUCGGUUUAAAUGAGAAAAAGUGCCAAACCAAAUAUCUGUGUUAAAAAAGUAUUUAUCUGAAUAGAAAUCCGCAUUAAUGUUUGAAGAAGGGGUGAUACAGAAUGAGAUAUUUGAGAAUUCUUUGACUAUUUUCAAGGUGAAAUGGAUAUUUAGUGACUAUGUUGCAAAUCGUUGCACAUUGUUAAUCUCAGGUUUUCGUAUCGUGUUUCAAUGUACAUUCCUGUUUACGUUAAUAGUAUUUCAAAGUGAGACUUGAUUCCCAUUCCACUCAUAUAUAUUUAAAGGUUAGCAUAGGUUCCUGUUCCAGUUAGUGUCAGUGGUAUUUGAAGGUGAGACUUGAUCCGAAUCCCAGUCAGUGGUAUUUCGAGGUGAGGCUUUUAUUCAAGUCCCAGUCAGUGGCAUUUCAAGGUAAGGGUUUUAUUCCAAUCCCAGUCAGUGGUAUUUCUAGGUGAGGCUUGAUUCCAAUCCCGGUCAGUGGUAAUUCGAGGUGAAGCUUUUAUUCCGGUCACAGUGAGUGGUAUUUCAAGGUGAGGCUUGAUUCCAAUCCCAAACAGUAGUAUUUCAAAGUGAGGCUAGGUAAAUAUCGUAUGGCGUAGUAUUCUAAAGCAACACUUGGUCACAAUCCCAGUCGGCCUUGUUUCUGUUUAAAGUAAGGUUCCUUUGUCACUGUGAUGGUUUGAAGGUGUGGUUUGGUCCCUAUGUCAGACAGUAUUGUUUCAUGGUUUAGAGAGGUUCAUGAGGGAAAUCCUUCUAUAAGCUAUCAACGUAUGUUUGUUCGGUGGGCAGCGGUAUUGGCACCAUCAUCAGAUAUGUAACUUCCAGUGUCUGUAGUGUGCUGUGACAUAAUGUCUGGCUUGAUGUUCAUGGCCCUCAUUAUUGGCAGGUUACAAACAUUGUUCAUUAGCUAUUUCCGCUAUCUGGUGUUACUUGAUUGCUGUUGUUUUAUUCUUGGAUCUGAAUCACACUUCGAUCAGCAUGUGCUUUGCAAGUAGACGGGAUCAUUCCAGUCAGAAUUCCUCCAUCUGUGUGUCAAACAGGACAAUUUCCUCCUGUGUGGAUAUUGACAAAUUUAUCUGUUUGUCUAGCCUUUGCAUGUUUUUUGUUAUGACGAGUGAUACCCUUUAUCAGCACUAUUUGAUGGUGAUUCAUAAUCACAUGCUCAUGGUAUAGUCUCUGCUCUUGACAAAGGUUUCUUGUGGAUGUGGAAAGAGCUUGUCACUUUUAUUUGAUAGUUUGCCGACUUAGACGUGACUCAGAGCCAAUGCUGUGCAGAUGUAAAACAUGUACAUUUGUUUUCCUGACUUUUGUAAGAUGAAAGUCUGGACAGAGAAUUAAUCAAGGAUAAUUUUCACAGAGAUCAACCGUUUAUGUUACGAAAUCUAUUACUUUGGAACAUGAGUAUAAUUAACUGGUUAGUUAGGUUGAUAAAAGCUAGUUAGUGUCAUAAAUACAUCUGUCACAUUCAUGUCAUCAAUAACGUUAUUGUCGUCAAAACAUUUUGUUCAGGAAAUAAUUUGUCAUCUGUUAGAUGAUUACACGUUUAAUUUGCUAAAGACAGAAAUGAUACAUACAAAACAAACGGCAUCAAUCUGAUUUUUUGAAAUUGCAGACGUAAAACAUGGUAUACUGUACGGUAUUCUUGUUUGACACACUCAUACAAACUAAUACCACCCCCGUCACUGACUUCUUACAUUUCCAAAACGUUGAAGUUCGGAUGGAGACUCUUUAUGAGCAUCUGCUCGCGUCAAAUACAUUUAGUUACACGAUAUAGUGUUGACGAAGACAAGAUUCGUGGUUCUAACUACCAGCUAUGUACUUAAAAUGUGAAAUUGUGUUGUAAACGAUUUGAAACAAAUGAACAGAAAUGAAUAUUCCUGACUAAAUUAUGCCCUCUCCUUGAGCGGAUAUGUCAGUAUGAGGUUACACAACGUUAUAAACAACCUGUGUCAUCACUUUGGGCUUCCCUGCAUUUUAAGGGAACACACGGAGUCCUUUCCACAUCCAUAAGGUGCUCAAAGCAUAGUCGAAAUGUAUAUAAACAUGUGUGUAUGAAUUACCAUAUAGUGCAUAUAAUAGUGACUUAAAGAUGGCAUUGAAGAUGGAACAAAGAUACGUUAAAUCCCAAUACAAUGUUCUGCAAGAAACCAGUGUGUGAAUACAUUUCAGUUUUCAUUUGACAGUGUCCUGCCAAGUAUAUCAAAUUCUUAUACUAUCUUUAAGUAAUGUGUGAAGAUACCCAUUGUACGUAAAAAUCUAAAGGUUAAGGAUAUGGGCUAAUCAGUACAUAAUCACUACUUUCUAAUACAUAUCAAAAUGAUUCAAAUGAUUUAUGACAUAAUACAAAUGAAUUAAGAAAUGAAGAAUGAUUCAAGUCAUGUAUUGCAUCUUGCGCAUCAGUGAGCUGUUAAAGGCACUGGGUUAUGUUCUGCUGGCAACCUGUUGUACGCAUGUUCUGAUAGAAAUGUUCAAACAGAUAUAGGUGUACUUCGCGUGUCAGCAUUCCUUUGAUCAUCUGAACACCAGCCACAUCUAAAGCCACUCCUGCCAUGAAGAGAUCCCUUGCACCUAAAACAGAUCAGUGGAGCUUAUACCGCUAAGACAUGCAACUCCAAAUAACACCAGAUAACUCUAAAUUUCUACCAACAAAACAGACAUUUUCACUGAGCUGUGUGCUAUUUUGAGGCAAGGCUCUGAUCAAAUGGAAUUGUAAACACAGUAUAGUACAUCACAAAUUAGAUUGGUGCUUGAUUGACAUGUGGAUAAAUUGUUGGAUUCGUGUAGUGCUUUAGACCCCGCUACGAUUGAGCAAGUAGAGUCCAAUUUGUCAGACGAUGUAUACAGGUUCCAGCAGUGGUAAUUAAGUGCGAGGACAACAAUAGGUAUCAAAGCUAAGGAGGCUGUCCACAGCAGACUUGGUGACGUAUAUAUUUUCUUUGUGAGAAUUAGGUUGGUGUUGUAUUGGAUGAAGUCACGGAUCUGUGUUGCCGUUAGCAUAGUCAUUGACAACGGGUUUGAUGAGAAAUGUUAUCCUUUCAUACCUUUAAUCCAUUGUACCUGUUUUUGACGAGCUACACCUUUUAGAAUAUUCUCUUGUUUGAAAUUAUCACAUGCCAACACAUGCCAACAAAAAUUGUUUGCUUCGUUCUGCUUGGCAACUAUGAUUCCUUGUCCCUUCACAAUAGACAUGAUUGCAUCCACUAUGUGUAGAACUUGAUUUUGAAUGGUAGCGACUAUGUAUGGAAGGUGGGCUUUGAUUACAACCUCUAUGUGUGGAAUGUGAGCUUUAAACAGUAGGGCGUAUUCCAAUUUAUUUUCUCAUAGGAGUAAACAAUAUACAACACCUCAAUAGAAACAUGUGAACAUCUUCAGUAAUCUCAACGAUCUUUGCAUGUAAAUUUUUUAGCUUAAAAUUAUAUCUGUCUCUUUAAUAAUUAUUUCCUUGCAACAUUGUUUCAUUGUUCAUGUGAUGCCUGUGAUUAAAUUGGUGCAUGGCCGGUGGCCAUUAUAGCUUUGUUGUGCGAAUUCCCCCAUAAUUAUCCUAUUAAGCUAUUUAUUGUUAACAUAUCUAUAUAUCAAUAUGUGAAAAUAGAUAUGAGAUAUAUCUAUAUAUUUACCUAUGUGGUAGUACAUACCACAUUUAUUUAUUGCAAAUCAUAGAUAUUUCUAUUUAUAUGUGUGUAUGUGUGUAUGUUGUGAAGAGGUGCAAUAUUUUGAAGUGAAAAGAAAUUAUUUUUCUAACCCCUAGUGCGUCUUUCCAUACAAUGUGGAUCGGUGUUUAAUAUCCAGUGAAAGAGACAUUAGUUGCUUCAGAUUGUAACUAUUGGUCAAAUUAUUGAUGUGACAAGUUCUGUUAUGAUCCUUUAGUAUAAAAUGUCAUCAACUUUCCAACCAUUUACAGAUGACGAAGACAAAACGAGGUGAUGAAAUGUGCUGCUUUGCUUUAGUUCUGAUAUCUACACCUUAUGUAAGGGUCUACUGAGAAAUAUUUUGAAUAAAACAUUGUCGUAAGGCAA